AAAAAGUUAGUUAUGUAUAGUACGCGACAGGUCGAGAUGGCAAUCGUGGUAUGAAGCGGGGGAGGCCCCGCACACCCGCACUUCACCCGCGCUCUCCCGCACUGGGUUAGCGCGGGAGCUGUGCGGGGCCUCCCCUCCGCGAUUGUCAUCUCGACCUGUCAC